AUUGAACGCUGGCGGCAUGCUUUACACAUGCAAGUCGGACGGCAGCACAGAGAAGCUUGCUUCUUGGGUGGCGAGUGGCGAACGGGUGAGUAAUAUAUCGGAACGUACCGAGCAGUGGGGGAUAACUAAUCGAAAGAUUAGCUAAUACCGCAUAUAUUCUGAGGAAGAAAGCAGGGGACCAUUUGGCCUUGCGCUGUUUGAGCGGCCGAUAUCUGAUUAGCUAGUUGGUGGGGUAAAGGCCUACCAAGGCGACGAUCAGUAGCGGGUCUGAGAGGAUGAUCCGCCACACUGGGACUGAGACACGGCCCAGACUCCUACGGGAGGCAGCAGUGGGGAAUUUUGGACAAUGGGCGCAAGCCUGAUCCAGCCAUGCCGCGUGUCAGAAGAAGGCCUUCGGGUUGUAAAGGACUUUUGUCAGGGAAGAAAAGGGCGGGGUUAAUACCCCUGUCUGAUGACGUACCUGGAGAUAGCCCCGCA
rnacentral:rRNA from 1 species